rnacentral:ncRNA from 1 species
CGCACAGGGCAAACCAUUUGAAAAAAUGGGACGCAAAGCCUCCGGCCUAAACCAGCUUUUCUGGCUAAUAACAGAAUUUCUGAUAGGUAGCGGGGUUGCCGA